rnacentral:lncRNA from 1 species
CGGGCCCAAAAUGGCGGCCUGCAGCGCGGCGGCGUGCAGCAGGGCUGUGAAAGUUCCUGGACAAAAUUAGAUUCGAUAAGGAAAACAGACCUAAAACCAGCCUCGAGAUAAUCCCAGAAUCAUUAAGAUUGGAAAAGAUGGCUAAGAUCCGCAGGUGACCCUCUGCUGGUGCAACCGGAGUCUGCUUGGUACAGCCUUCUGGGUUUGCUGCUGGAGGCAGCCCCGUGUCCUCCAAGCAGAGUGUUUUGUUUGCUGACUGCUGCUGAGAAGCAGGAGGAGGAACUCGCGUGUUCGUGGCUUGCACAGAGGUUGGGAGUACAAACCAGACUGUGAAGUCAUGGGAAGGAUGCUUACUUUUCAGCCACUCAAAAUUGAGGUGAAUGCCAGCUACUCAACCUAUGCUUCUCAUUCCACUGAACCGAUUUGUCCUUACUGCCCCCAAGAAUGAAGGAGUCAUUCGAUAGCUCUUGUAUUGUAUUUUUAAUUGACUGUCUUCAAAAGGGUGCAUUACAUCUGGGGUGGGAGGUCUUAACGCAGUAGUAAGCUAUGCAGGGAGUCGUACUAAACAAUCUCUGUCCUACAGCAAGAAUGAACAAGAUACUUUAUUGCGUGAGAGAUUCCAGAGGCUUUAUAUUCCC